GAUGAACGCUGACAGCAUGCUUAACACAUGCAAGUCAACUGUGGCGGACGGGUGAGUAACGCGUAAAGAACUUGCCUCACAGCUAGGGUCAACAUUUGGAAACGAAUGCUACUACCUGCUACUGUGAGAGAGCUUUGCGUCCCAUUAGCUAGUUGGAGAGGUAACGGCUCCCAAAGGCGAUGAUGGGUAGCCGGCCUGAGAGGGUGAUCGGCCACAAGGGGACUGGGACACGGCCCUUACUGCUACGGGAGGAAGGAGUGGGGAAUAUUGGAAAAUGGACCAAAGUAUGAUCAAGGAAUUCUGGGUGCAAGAUGAAGUUUUCGGGAUGUAAAGGGCUUUCAGUUGGGAAGCGGUACCAACAGAAGAAGUGACGGCUAAAUACGUGCCAGCAGCCGCGGUAAUUC
rnacentral:rRNA from 1 species